AGGUGAGGAUGACUCUCAGGAAAUGAUAGAAGGCCCUCGGACGGAGUAGAUGAGGAGGCGGGAUGGACGCACGACAUUGUCCGACAUUUUAGGAGUGCAGAGCUUACUUGUCUUAUUAUGAGAGAGAUAAUCUAGGGAUGUUUCAAUUGGUAUCAGAGCAGUCACUCCUAAAAGACAGAGUGCGCACACCAUCUCGUCAAGAACUCGACUACUUCUAUCCACAUUGUCAGCUUUCGUAUAUUUCUAUGGAGUUGGGAAAAAGGAAGGAGAGAACGGAAAGAAAGUCAUUUAAAAGGAAAAGAAGGGAUACCUGGCAAUUCAGCUAAUUGUUUCUUUAACUUGAACUAUGGCUGAAAAAAGAAGAAAAUUUGAGAUAACAAGUUUCCAGUCAUGUUUGUCAGAUGCUGUUACAAAAAUUACAAGCUGGCAUGAGAUUUCAGUGGCUGCAACAGUGCAAUAUAACGAAGAGAAAGAACAAUGUUUACACAACCUUCAUAAACAGGGAAAAAAACUGAAGAAAUAUAAAGAAUUAAAGAGAGAGAAUGAAAGAAAGCUGGAGGAAGUGGAGAAAGAAUACAAGUCAAUUUUGGAGGAAGUUCAGAAAGGAAAUCAGAUUCUGUUGAAUCUGAUUCAAAGUUCAAAUGCUACUCUCAGACAGAGCACAUCUUAUAAGGGUAAGGGUAAUGAAAAUUCAAUGAAUACUAUUUUUGAUGUAGAAGUGGAAGAUGAAGACCAUGCUGCUUCAGAAAAAAGUGUAGAAAUAAGUGGCCCAGUCAGAAAGAAGUUGAAGAGGAAUGAGGAUGAAGUAGAAGUUGAAUAACAUUUUUUGAUUUCUUUAUCCAAAUCUAUGUUUUGAGCAUUAUAUGAUCUGAUACUAUAUCUUGUUUUUUAGUUGGUCUAUUUUGAUGACUACUCUUUUUAAGUGGAAUUUCAAUACAGUUAAAACCUAUAAUGCCGUUUCUAGGCAUAUCGAUGUCUUUUUCAGGCAUGUCAACAUUUGAGGUUCCAUUUUAUCGGUCAUCUUUCAA